UACAGAGGUCCCAAGCGUUGUUCGGAUUUACUGGGCGUAAAGGGCGCGUAGGCGGCAAAUUAAGUCAUCUGUGAAAUCUCCGAGCUUAACUCGGAACGGUCAGGUGAUACUGAUCUGCUAGAGUGCGGAAGGGGCAAUCGGAAUUCUUGGUGUAGCGGUGAAAUGCGUAGAUAUCAAGAGGAACACCUGAGGUGAAGACGGGUUGCUGGGCCGACACUGACGCUGACAGCGCGAAAGCCAGGGGAGCAAACGGG
rnacentral:rRNA from 1 species